GGGAAGUAAGAUGCUUACACAUGCAGUCGAUUCAAGUUACCUUCGGGUAAUGAGGAUGGCGGACGGGUGAGUAACGCGUAAGGAACUUGCCUCUUGGACUGGGACAACUGUUGGAAACGACAGCUAAUACCGGAUAUUAUGAGAUUCUCGCAUGAGAAACUUAUGAAAGCUAUAUGCGCCAAGAGAGAGCCUUGCGUUCCAUUAGCUAGUUGGUGGGGUAAUGGCCCACCAAGGCGACGAUGGAUAGCCGGCCUGAGAGGGUGAACGGCCACAAGGGGACUGAGACACGGCCCUUACUCCUACGGGAGGCAGCAGUGGGGAAUAUUGGACAAUGGGCCACAAGCCUGAUCCAGCAAUUCUGUGUGCACGAUGAAGGUCUUCGGAUUGUAAAGUGCUUUCAGUUGGGAAGAAGAAAGUGACGGUACCAACAGAAGAAGCGACGGCUAAAUACGUGCCAGCAGCCGCGGUAAUACGUAUGUCGCAAGCGUUAUCCGGAUUUAUUGGGCGUAAAGCGCGUCUAGGCGGAAAAAUAAGUCUGAUGUUAAAAUGCGGGGCUCAACUCCGUAUUGCGUUGGAAACUGUUUUUCUAGAGUACUGGAGAGGUGGGCGGAACUACAAGUGUAGAGGUGAAAUUCGUAGAUAUUUGUAGGAAUGCCGAUGGAGAAGUCAGCUCACUGGACAGAUACUGACGCUGAAGCGCGAAAGCGUGGGGAGCAAACAGGAUUAGAUACCCUGGUAGUCCACGCCGUAAACGAUGAUCACUAGGUGUUGGGGGUCGAACCUCAGCGCCCAAGCUAACGCGAUAAGUGAUCCGCCUGGGGAGUACGCACGCAAGUGUGAGACUUAAAGGAAUUGACGGGGACCCGCACAAGCGGUGGAGCAUGUGGUUUACUUCGACGCAACGCGAGAAACCUUACCAGCGUUUGACAUCCUAAGAAGUUUCCAGAGAUGGAUUCGUGCCGGCUUGCCGGAACUUAUUGACAGGUGGGGCAUGGCUGUCGGCAUCUCGGGUCGUGAGAUGUUGGGUUAAUUCCCUCAACGAACGCAACCCCUAUUGUAUGUGGCUACCAUUAAGUUUAACAUUCCUGCAAAACUGCCUGCGAUCAGCGGAAGAAGGUUGGGGAUUACGUCGGUGUGGUUGGGCUGUGUAGCGGAUUGUGC
rnacentral:rRNA from 1 species